UACGAAGGGGGCUAGCGUUGCUCGGAAUCACUGGGCGUAAAGCGCACGUAGGCGGCUUUUAAGUCAGGGGUGAAAUCCUGGAGCUCAACUCCAGAACUGCCUUUGAUACUGGAAGUCUUGAGACCGGAAGAGGUAAGUGGAACUGCGAGUGUAGAGGUGAAAUUCGUAGAUAUUCGCAAGAACACCAGUGGCGAAGGCGGCUUACUGGUCCGGUUCUGGACGCUGAGGCACGGAAAGCGUGGGGAGCAAACAGG
rnacentral:rRNA from 1 species